rnacentral:rRNA from 1 species
UACGUAGGUGGCAAGCGUUGUCCGGAAUUACUGGGCGUAAAGCGUGCGCAGGCGGUUUUGUAAGUCAGAUGUGAAAUCCCCGGGCUUAACCUGGGAACUGCGUUUGAAACUACAAGGCUAGAGUGUGACAGAGGGGGGUGGAAUUCCACGUGUAGCAGUGAAAUGCGUAGAGAUGUGGAGGAACACCGAUGGCGAAGGCAGCCCCCUGGGUUAACACUGACGCUCAGGCACGAAAGCGUGGGGAGCAAACAGG